UACGAAGGGGGCUAGCGUUGUUCGGAUUUACUGGGCGUAAAGCGCACGUAGGCGGAUCUUUAAGUCAGAGGUGAAAUCCCAAGGCUCAACCCUGGAACUGCCUUUGAUACUGUCGAUCUGGAGUAUGGAAGAGGUGAGUGGAAUUCCGAGUGUAGAGGUGAAAUUCGUAGAUAUUCGGAGGAACACCAGUGGCGAAGGCGGCUCACUGGUCCAUUACUGACGCUGAGGUGCGAAAGCGUGGGGAGCAAACAGG
rnacentral:rRNA from 1 species